rnacentral:lncRNA from 1 species
CAAGGAACGUGGUAAAGGAGGGUGGUGGAAGGAGCAGUUUCUGAAUGCAGAUAAAGAUGGCAGUGGAUCGCUUGAUAGCACCGAAUUUAGGGACUUCUUACACCCUGAAGAUAGUAGAAAUCCAGCAAUCCAAUUGUGGCUGCAGAAGGAAAAACUAAGAGAAAUGGAUCAGAAUGAAGAUGGGAAAUUGAGUUUCGUGGAGUUUCGUGAUCGACUUGAUGGCAUCUAUCUGAGUUUUGCUUCAUCUGAAACUGACGGGGCAGAUGACUCCAAGCAUCAUCAAGAUUAUGCCAAAAGAAAAUUUGGAGAGCUUGAUGUCAACAAAGACAAAGUUUUGACAGCAGAAGAACUGAAGCCCAUAAUUCAUCACCUUCAACCAGGGGAGUUUUCUUAUGCCAUGCAUUUCACAAAGUACUUGAUGCAUGNNNNNNNNNNNNNNNNNNNNNNNNNNNNNNNNNNNNNNNNNNNNNNNNNNNNNNNNNNNNNNNNNNNNNNNNNNNNNNNNNNNNNNNUCUCUUCAUAGUUUAUGGAUAUCUAAUUAAUGCAUCAUAUUUGUGGUUGCAUUUGGUUUCAAAAUAAGAUCGUUUUUAAGUGAAAGGAAUAAUGAAGUCAAGUUACUGAGAAAAGUUUCUAACAAUGUCCUAGCUAAUAAUUUAGGCACGUUAUGAUGCUGCUCAUUUGGAAUGUUUCCAUGGUACAGAUUGGGACAACAAGGAACGUGGUAAAGGAGGGUGGUGGAAGGAGCAGUUUCUGAAUGCAGAUAAAGAUGGCAGUGGAUCGCUUGAUAGCACCGAAUUUAGGGAGUAAGAGCAGUACCUUCUUUUGUUAAAGGAACUUUGAUCAAAUACUACUUCAUUUUCUUACAAAUAAUUUAUGCAUUGUAGUAAGAGCAGUACCUUCUUUUGUUAAAGGAACUUUGAUCAAAUAAUACUUAAUUUUCUUACAAAUAACUUAUGCUUCGUAGCUUCUUACACCCUGAAGAUAGUAGAAAUCCAGCAAUCCAAUUGUGGCUGCAGAAGGAAAAACUAAGGUAAAUGAUGCCAACCCAUGAAACAUACUGGACAUUCAAUGUUUUAUUAGGUAACUUGCUGUUUCUCGUUAUUCUUAUGUUUCAAGUUAUUUAUGCAAAAUUUCUAUGGCACCAAAAUUCAAAAUUGAUGAAGGUUAAUGAUAUUGGUGUCAAUCAAGUUUAAGAGUGCAAAGAAAUACCACUAGAGAAGCAAGAGAUGUGGCCUCCACGACCUCCACGAGAAAAGAUAUUUAGGAGUUUCCUGAAUAACACUUUGCACAAAUAAACGAACAAUGAAUUAUGUGUCUGGCUUUUCUUCUUUUUUUUGGUAAUUGAAGAAUGUGUUUCCCCCCUUCUUUGCUAGGAAAAGCAUGAACUUUUGGUAGAUUUCGUAAAGUUGGCUACCUAAUCAUCAGUAUCUUUGUUCUCCACAUUGUUGAUGAUGGUUCUGAUAUAGUCUCUAUAUCUCUUCAUUUCAAAAGUCUAUUUUUUUUUCUCAUGUUAUCUGUGGUUUAUGAGGAAUAGAGAAAUGGAUCAGAAUGAAGAUGGGAAAUUGAGUUUCGUGGAGUUUCGUGAUCGACUUGAUGGCAUCUAUCUGAGUUUUGCUUCAUCUGAAACUGACGGGGCAGAUGACUCCAAGCAUCAUCAAGAUUAUGCCAAAAGAAAAUUUGGAGAGCUUGAUGUCAACAAAGACAAGUAUGUAAUUUAAGAUUCCUAGCUCAUAAUACAAUAGAUAGAGCCUAUUAGUCCUACAAAAUUUUUUAUUAAAUAUUAUUCAAUCCAAUAUUUGAUGAAGUAAUCUGUGCAUUGCAUGAAGAUUUUAGCCCUUGAUAGGUAUCGCUGGCAAAUAAGGAUCCGUAAACCUUAAUAAACUAACUAAUUAAAUAAGAUAAAGCAUGUUUGUUUUGGUCCUGGUUAUUCACUAAUUCUAGGAUUCUAUAAUAUCUUUCAGAGUUUUGACAGCAGAAGAACUGAAGCCCAUAAUUCAUCACCUUCAACCAGGGGAGUUUUCUUAUGCCAUGCAUUUCACAAAGUACUUGAUGCAUG